rnacentral:rRNA from 1 species
CCUACGGUAGGCAGCAGUGGGGAAUAUUGCACAAUGGGGGGAACCCUGAUGCAGCAACGCCGCGUGGGUGAAGAAGUACUUCGGUAUGUAAAGCCCUGUCAGCAGGGAAGAAAAUGACGGUACCUGACCAAGAAGCCCCGGCUAACUACGUGCCAGCAGCCGCGGUCAUACGUAGGGGGCAAGCGUUAUCCGGAUUUACUGGGUGUAAAGGGAUAGUAGACGGCAAGGCAAGUCUGGAGUGAAAGCCCGUGGCUCAACCACGGGACUGCUUUGGAAACUGUGUUGCUGGAGUGCAGGAGGGGUAAGCGGAAUUCCUAGUGUAGCGGUGAAAUGCGUAGAUAUUAGGAGGAACACCGGUGGCGAAGGCGGCUUACUGGACUGUAACUGACGUUGAGGCUCGAAGGCGUGGGGAGCAAACAGGAUUAGAUACCCCUGUAGUC